UCUCAUUCAUAUAAUUCAUUCAAAUAGUGACAACAUCCUUACAUCAAAAAUUUAAUUAAAGUACUAGAAAUUCCAAAAGAAAAAAACUAAUGUAGUUCAAACAUUCAAAAACAUAAAUAUUAGUAGAGUGACUAAACAUAAGCAUUACAUCAAAAUAAGAAGUUCACAAAAUAUCUAAAUAUUUCCUAUAGUAUGUGAUGUUGCUUCAUGAUCCCUUAAUUAGUGUUAGCUCUUGACUCAAAAUGUCUACCAUCUCUUUACUUGUCUCAUUUAGUUACCUG
rnacentral:lncRNA from 1 species